rnacentral:rRNA from 1 species
UACAGAGGUCUCAAGCGUUGUUCGGAUUCAUUGGGCGUAAAGGGUGCGUAGGUGGCGCCAUAAGUCAGGUGUGAAAUCUCGGGGCUCAACCCCGAAACUGCAUUUGAUACUGUGGUGCUCGAGUACUGGAGAGGAGAUUGGAAUUUUACGGUGUAGCAGUGAAAUGCGUAGAUAUCGUAAGGAAGACCAGUGGCGAAGGCGAAUCUCUGGACAGUUACUGACACUGAGGCACGAAGGCCAGGGGAGCAAACGGG